rnacentral:lncRNA from 1 species
CUGCACCUCAUCUCUGGGAUGGUUUCAGUGGGUCCUAGAUUGCUUUCUGUGCUCCCUGGGACAGUUGGUGGCACUCUGUGAGACUACUCUGAGCAUGACUAUAGGACAGAGAGGAGACUGAGAAACACAAGAAGCACCAGAGUGGUUGAAAGGAGCUGAAGGUUCAGACAGCAACCUGGACACUAAGGGUCCAAAGCCAAGCCCAAGGUCAAGUAGCUGGACAGAGAAACAGCUGCAAGCACAGACUUGGAUCCUGACCUGAUUUUCUGCAGAAGCAAGUCCCUGUUUAGCCUUCUACUGCCUCCUUUUAGAAUGAAGCCAGACCAGUCCUUUCCAUCAUGGGCUCCUGUGGAAAAUGACCCCAGCUCAGCUCAGUAGUUGAUGGGACAUCUGAUUCAGGUUGGACCCAGCCCAGACAUCUGAUUCAAACAAUAUUCUUCUCCAGGAAUUUUGUAACCAGCACUGGUAAAGGGAGGGAAGUGCUCCCCAGUGGGGAGAGCUGCAGAAUGUGAGACUUGGAAACCAAAGGCCGCCAUGUUUUCUGUCUCAUGAUGGAAUCCAAUCUUCUUUGGCGGGGAAAAUAAAUGAAGCCAACACCAGUAGGACAACAUAUAUCAAGCAGGGGCCAUUGCUCCAGCCUGACUCCAGGAAUCAGCAGACAGCGCAGCCUCAUUCUCCACCUGCUCCCUGCAGUACAGCCUCAGAACCACACAGUUGCAGCCAACCAGCUCCUGACAUGGAACUUGAGCAACAAAUGCCCUUUGUUUUUGCAAGUCCCUGAGAUUUGGAAGUUGUUACACAGCAUUCUCUCAGCCAGAAGUGACUGACAUGGUAUCAUUGCAGUCUUGAUCAAUUUGCCCUAUGCAAAGUGUUUUUAUAUGCCAUGAAUUUCUGAAGAUAGAACUACUGUUAUUCCCCAUGCAGCAGCUGAGGAAACUGAGUCUUAGAAUGUAUAAACAACUUUCCCAAGGCUACUGAAAGUGAUGGGAAUCAAAUAUAUCUUUGCCUAACUCCAGAUCCCAUGCUUUUGAAGAUAUUUAUACUGCCUAAAGCUGUAACAGACUUUUCUAAUAGUCAUACAUGGCAUAUUUAGUUGCUCUCCAUGGGGAAAUAAUGACCUGACAUGGAAAAUAUUGGUGUACUUUAUUAUGAGAUUCUAAUAAGCAACCAUUAUACAUGUAUAUAAUAUAUACAUGCAACCUCUUAAGCUUAUGCCAUUCUGUAUGGAUGUUACUAGCUUGAAGAAAUUCUAAAGAGUAGGGAUAUUAAAAAUACUGAGCCAAUAAAGUAGGAUAAUUUU